rnacentral:rRNA from 1 species
UACGUAGGGUGCGAGCGUUGUCCGGAAUUAUUGGGCGUAAAGAGCUUGUAGGCGGUUUGUCGCGUCUGCUGUGAAAAUCCGGGGCUCAACCCCGGACUUGCAGUGGGUACGGGCAGACUAGAGUGUGGUAGGGGAGACUGGAAUUCCUGGUGUAGCGGUGAAAUGCGCAGAUAUCAGGAGGAACACCAAUGGCGAAGGCAGCUCGCUGGGACGUGACUGACGCUGAGACGCGAAAGCGUGGGGAGCGAACAGG